rnacentral:rRNA from 1 species
GACGAACGCUGGCGGCGUGCUUAACACAUGCAAGUCGAACGGUGAAGGGACCAGCUUGCUGGUUCUGGAUGAGUGGCGAACGGGUGAGUAACACGUGAGUAACCUGCCCCCUUCUUCUGGAUAACCGCAUGAAAGUGUGGCUAAUACGGGAUAUUCUGGGUCUGUCGCAUGGCGGGCCCGGGAAAGAUAUUGCUUCGGUGGGGGAUGGGCUCGCGGCCUAUCAGCUUGUUGGUGGGGUGAUGGCCUACCAAGGCGGUGACGGGUAGCCGGCCUGAGAGGGUGGACGGUCACACUGGGACUGAGACACGGCCCAGACGCCUACGGGAGGCAGCAGUGGGGAAUAUUGCACAAUGGGCGCAAGCCUGAUGCAGCGACGCCGCGUGAGGGAUGGAGGCCUUCGGGUUGUAAACCUCUUUCGCCAGUGAAGCAGGCCUGCUCCUUGUGGGUGGGUUGACGGUAGCUGGAUAAGAAGCGCCGGCUAACUACGUG